rnacentral:rRNA from 1 species
UACGAAGGGGGCUAGCGUUGUUCGGAAUCACUGGGCGUAAAGCGCACGUAGGCGGAUGUGUCAGUCAGGGGUGAAAUCCCGGAGCUCAACUUCGGAACUGCCUUUGAUACAGCACGUCUUGAGUCCGAUAGAGGUGGGUGGAAUUCCUAGUGUAGAGGUGAAAUUCGUAGAUAUUAGGAAGAACACCGGUGGCGAAGGCGGCCCACUGAU